rnacentral:tRNA from 1 species
AAAUUAGUUUAAACUAAAACAAUAACUUGUCAAGUUAUAAAUAUAUUAUUUAUAUAUUCUCUUUUA